CGGGAUGAGCUCAAAUUUAAAAUCUGGCGUCUUUCAGGCGUCCGAGUUGUAAUCUAUAGAGGCGUUUUCCGCGCCGGACCGCGUCCAAGUCCCUUGGAAUAGGGUAUCAAAGAGGGUGACAAUCCCGUACUUGACGCGACAACCGGUGCUCUGUGAUACGUUCUCAACGAGUCGAGUUGUUUGGGAAUGCAGCUCUAAACGGGUGGUAAAUUCCAUCUAAGGCUAAAUAUUGGCGAGAGACCGAUAGCGAACAAGUACCGUGAGGGAAAGAUGAAAAGCACUUUGGAAAGAGAGUUAAACAGCACGUGAAAUUGUUAAAAGGGAAACGAUUGAAGUCAGUCGUGUGGAAGGUAUUCAGCCGUCUCUGGCGGUGUAUUUGCCUUUCACGGGUCAACAUCAGUUUAGUCCGGUAGAAAAAGGCGGGAGGAAGGUGGCACCCUCGGGUGUGUUAUAGCCUCUUGUCACAUGUGCCGGAUUAGACUGAGGA
rnacentral:rRNA from 1 species